UCUUCUGUGGCUCAGAUGGUAAAGAAUCUGCCUGCAAUGCAGGAUAUCCAGGUUCAAUCCCUGGAUCAAGAA
rnacentral:tRNA from 1 species